UAGGGAAUAUUGGACAAUGGGGGCAACCCUGAUCCAGCCAUGCCGCGUGAGUGAAGAAGGCCCUCGGGUUGUAAAGCUCUUUUGUCCGGAAAGAAAAGCUUCGGGUUAAUACCCCGGGGUUCUGACGGUACCGGAAGAAUAAGCACCGGCUAACUUCGUGCCAGCAGCCGCGGUAAUACGAAGGGUGCAAGCGUUACUCGGAAUUACUGGGCGUAAAGCGUGCGUAGGUGGUUGUUUAAGUCUGAUGUGAAAGCCCUGGGCUCAACCUGGGAAUGGCAUUGGNAACUGGGCAGCUAGAGUGCGGUAGAGGGUAGUGGAAUUCCCGGUGUACCAGUGAAAUGCGUAGAGAUCGGGAGGAACAUCUGUGGCGAAGGCGACUGCCUGGACCAGCACUGACACUGAGGCACGAAAGCGUGGGGAGCAAACA
rnacentral:rRNA from 1 species